UUCAUUCACACUGGAAUGUACAUCUAGCU
rnacentral:piRNA from 1 species